rnacentral:misc_RNA from 1 species
UCCGAGUUGACCCCGGCAGUCUCCUAUGAGUCCCCGACAUUACUCGCUGGCAACAUAGGACGAGGGUUGCGCUCGUUGCGGGACUUAACCCAACAUCUCACGACACGAGCUGACGACAACCAUGCACCACCUGUGCAGGACCCUUGCGGACCCCACAUCUCUGUGAGAUUUCCCUGCAUGUCAAGCCUAGAUAAGGUUCUUCGCGUUGCAUCGAAUUAAGCCAUAUGCUCCACCGCUUGUGCGGUCCCCCGCCAAUUCCUUUGAGUUUCAACCUUGCGGCCGUAGUCCCCAGGCGGUUCACUUAAUGCGUUAGCUGCGGCACCGAGGGUUACCCCCCAACACCUAGUGAACAUCGUUUAAGGCCAAGACUAC